rnacentral:rRNA from 1 species
CCUACGGGUGGCAGCAGUGAGGAAUAUUGGUCAAUGGACGAGAGUCUGAACCAGCCAAGUAGCGUGAAGGAUGACUGCCCUAUGGGUUGUAAACUUCUUUUAUAAAGGAAUAAAACGAGGCACGUGUGCCUUUUUGCAUGUACUUUAUGAAUAAGGAUCGGCUAACUCCGUGCCAGCAGCCGCGGUAAUACGGAGGAUCCGAGCGUUAUCCGGAUUUAUUGGGUUUAAAGGGCGCGUAGAUGGGUUGUUAAGUCAGUUGUGAAAGUUUGCGGCUCAACCGUAAAAUUGCAAUUGAUACUGGCAGUCUAGAGUACAGUUGAGGUAGGCGGAAUUCGUGGUGUAGCGGUGAAAUGCUUAGAUAUCACGAAGAACCCCGAUUGCGAAGGCAGCUUACUAAACUGUGACUGACAUUGAUGCUCGAAAGUGUGGGUAUCAAACAGGAUUAGAUACCCGAGUAGUC